rnacentral:rRNA from 1 species
CGAACGGGAGGCAGCAGUGGGGAAUAUUGCACAAUGGGCGGAAGCUUGAUGCAGCGACGCCGCGUGGAGGAAGAAGGCCUUCGGGUUGUAAACUUCUUUUAUAGGGGAAAAUAGUGAUGGUACCUUAUGAAUAAGCCACGGCUAACUCUGUGCCAGUAGCCGCGGUAAGACAGAGGUGGCGAGCGUUGUUCGGAAUUACUGGGCUUAAAGGGCGCGUAGGUGGUGAUACAAGUCCGAGGGAAAAUUCGCAGCUUAACCGUAGGAUUGCAUUAGAAACUGUAUUACAGAGUCGGACAGGGGAAGGCGGAAUUCCUGGUGUAGCGGUGAAAUGCGUAGAUAUCAGGAGGAAGGCCAGUGGCGAAGGCGGCCUUCUGGGGCGUGACUGACACUGAGACGCGAAAGCGUGGGGAGCAAACAGGAUUAGAUACCCGGGUAGUCC